AUGUUUCGCUCCAAACAGUGUGUCUUCCUAGGCUAUAGUGCUCAACACAAAGGUGUAAAGUGCCUUGAUGUUUCUACUGGUCGCAUCUAUAUCUCUCGGGACAUCGUCUUUGACGAGAGUUCCCUUUUUCCGACCUACACCCCAAUGCCGGAGCUCUACUUCGCAAAGAAAUUAUUCUCUUGCCUUCCAGUCUCACCGGCAUCACCCAAGGGGAAAAUACUUGUAGUGACUCAAUGUUGA
rnacentral:rRNA from 1 species